UUUUUCAUCAACUGCCCUAAAUUUGUUUAGAGGGGUAUUCCACUAAGCGAGCUCUACAAGUCAAGGCUGGGCAGUGGGUCCAUGAAUAAACUGCCUCACUCCUGCAGGUGUCUUUCCAUACUUCCCAUCGUUCAAGAACCAAAAGAUGGCUGCUGCCCAGAAGCAUGUGCUGCGUGUGUAUGUUGAACGAGACACCGCCCUGAAACUUACUCUACUUGAGCGACCAAAGUCAGUGGAGGAGCUGAAAGAAAUAAUUCAAGAGAGGUUCAAGCCAAGAC